UACGUAGGGGGCAAGCGUUGUCCGGAAUCAUUGGGCGUAAAGAGCGCGUAGGCGGUCCGGUAAGUCAGCUGUGAAAGUCAAGGGCUCAACCCUUGAAAGCCGGUUGAUACUGUCGGGCUAGAGUCCGGAAGAGGCGAGUGGAAUUCCCGGUGUAGCGGUGAAAUGCGCAGAUAUCGGGAGGAACACCAAUGGCGAAGGCAGCUCGCUGGGACGGUACUGACGCUGAGGCGCGAAAGCGUGGGGAGCAACAGG
rnacentral:rRNA from 1 species